GAUGAACGCUGGCGGCGUGCUUAACACAUGCAAGUCGAACGGUGAACACGGAGCUUGCUCUGUGGGAUCAGUGGCGAACGGGUGAGUAACACGUGAGCAACCUGCCCCUGACUCUGGGAUAAGCGCUGGAAACGGCGUCUAAUACUGGAUACGAGUAGCGACCGCAUGGUCAGUUACUGGAAAGAUUUUAUUGGUUGGGG
rnacentral:rRNA from 1 species